GUGGGGAAUCUUAGACAAUGGGGGAAACCCUGAUCUAGCCAUGCCGCGUGAGCGAUGAAGGCCUUAGGGUUGUAAAGCUCUUUCAGCUGGGAAGAUAAUGACGGUACCAGCAGAAGAAGCCCCGGCUAACUCCGUGCCAGCAGCCGCGGUAAUACGGAGGGGGCUAGCGUGGUUCGGAAUUACUGGGCGUAAAGCGCGCGUAGGCGGACCAGAAAGUUGGAGGUGAAAUCCCAGGGCUCAACCUUGGAACUGCCUUCAAAACUCCUGGUCUGGAGUUCGAGAGAGGUGAGUGGAAUUCCGAGUGUAGAGGUGAAAUUCGUAGAUAUUCGGAGGAACACCAGUGGCGAAGGCGGCUCACUGGCUCGAUACUGACGCUGAGGUGCGAAAGCGUGGGGAGCAAACAGGAUUAGAUACCCGAGUAGUCC
rnacentral:rRNA from 1 species